GCCCCGGUGGCACAACUGUUAAGUGCUUGGAUGCUAACCAAAAGGUUGGUGGUUCUAACCCAUCCAGUGGCU
rfam:Loxodonta africana unplaced genomic scaffold scaffold_75, whole genome shotgun sequence.